CUUCCCUUCUCCCUUGGGAAAAGACUUGGCUUUUAAGUGAUCACUAGCUAUUCUCAUGAUUAACCCAAUCAUUUGCUGUUAACCUGCACUUGGGGUUACCGACAGCACAUGGUGCAAAGAUAUUUCAUUAGCUGCCAGAACAAAUGACCAAUGUGCCAAAUCUCCAACAGCUUGUGUCCUGGAUAAGGGUCACUGUGGGCCCACUGGUGCUGCCUGCCUCAGAAAUUCCACAAAUAUUUACUGAGCAUCUACUCUACACAAGGGGUAGCCAUUACAGCUUCGGGGCUCCACUGUGCGCUCCAGGACACAAAAACUACCCCCUCCUCCACCUCCCCGCCGUUUCUGUGGAAACCCAGGGCUGCAGACCCAGCACCAGCUUUCUCGGAGGGUGCCUUGCAGAGAAGAAAAGCUAAGGGCCAUCGCGAUCUUGCCUACAACUACUAUCAGCCUGGAUCUGUUUCAGAUGAUGUGGCUACCAAAUUCAGGCUGCCUGGAUCCCUAAGUCACAGCUUGGAAGUAGGCUACCUUGAAGAGCUGUUGUCUUGAAAUGCAUUUCAUGAAGAGAAAGAAAAGUUAGUGACAAAACUGCAAGAGGACAAUAUCUUGAGGGGGAGGAGCUGUAUUAGUGCCUAGAAGCACCUUCUAAGGGAAAGGAACAAAAUGCUCCUGUUACUAAUUCUAGUUGUAUGGCCUUUCUUGAGGUAUAAGCAAAAUCCUGAACUUUGGAAGGGAAUACAGAGCCAGGGUCUCUGUGUCCCAUUUGCUAAGGUACUUAACGCAGAAUCUGAAUACCCUUUACUUAACACUCCAGCACUGUGAUGUGGCACAUACCUGGGCACUGAUGUCACUCAGAUCUGGCGUUCAGUCCCAGCUUGGCCAUUUACUAUGUGACUUGGACAAGUUAAUUUCUUGCCUCCAUUUCCUGAUAUGUAAAAUGGGUAUAAAAAUUUCUACCAAGCAGGGUUAUUGGGAGCACUAAAUAAAAUAAAACAAGGUGGAGUACACGACACGCUUGGUUCAACGGCUGGCAUACAGCAGCUGGUUUAGAUCUGUUUGUUUCCUUCCUUCCUAGGCCUUCAGAGUUUGGUGUCGAGCUCAGGCUCAGUCAAAAGAAAGUUUAAUAUUGGAAGUAGUAGUAAGAUCUCGCAAAAACACCUGUGAUACUGCUUUAGCUGCCACAACGUAAGGUGAAGGCAGCAUUCCUAGGAGAAAAGAAAAGCCAAGUCAGAGAGAGGAAGUGGAUCCAGAUCACACACAGAGGCCAGAUGUCCAGACGAGGUGUUGGGGCUGGGUGGGUGAGGCAGGCAGACUGGCAGAGUUUGGCUAAGACACCCUGAACCUGGGACAAAGCCAGCCUGGGACCAGAAGUUUCCUUGACUGCUUCCUGUUAGGCAAAGGUCCAAGGCAAUGCUCUUCUGGGUGGUGGCAAGUACUAGCCACCAGGGGCAGGAGUGAGCAGCAACUCUUACUUCCCUAACUUGUUCUGAUCCCGCCCCCUCCCCCAGCACAGGCUUCCAAACAGGCUCUGGUGAACUUACUCAGUCACAUAACCAUCCAAUCAUGUGAGACAUUCACUUUGAACCGGCUUAGUGGGCCAGCCCUGUGCUGGCGCUGGUAACACAGAGACAAAGAGGAAACGCUCCCUUACUGUGGAGGGGUGGUGCAUCGCUUUUCAGGGAGACAGAUGUGCAAACAGAUCAAAAUCCACAUGCUCAGAUUUCUAAGGGGUUAACUCCAGGGAACCCUGGCUUCUCAGAGGAGAGAACAAGUAUCUGUAGUUUUGCUAAGUUUGGGGAAGGAGUCUUCCCUGAGAGCAGGACCUAUGUGUGGAGAGGAAUAAAAAGGAAGAGAGGAGGCACAUUUGGGGUUCGGGGGUCGGUCUUGUGUGGCCAAAGUGUGAGGCACAUGACAGAGGGGGAAGUGGUUACAGUAAAACAUACACAGUAGGUAGAGGUCAGCUCACGGUGAGUCACCAUGCCAGGGUCAGGCUCUUGAAUCUGACGCUCUGGGUUGGAAGUGGCUAAGUGGCAGUCAUCAGAAUGGAUAGGAAAGCCAAUUAAAAAAUUGAUUUUGAAUGCUUUCAGACUAGGCAUAUGCUUUCGACUCUGACACAUUCCCCACCACUUCCUACCAUCCUACACUUGACCCCCUCACUCUUUUACACCACCCACACAGCCCCUGCAAGCAUUUGGGUUUGGGACUCCUGGGCAACCUGUGACCAGGGGAGGUUUUUAGGAAGAUAAUGAAACAUGGUCAGAUUUGGUGUUCUGGGGCCACGCAUCAGCGGAGUUGAGGCAGGAAGAGGAUGGUGACAAAUGCCACAAUAUGUUUUCUUUCCAACAGGACUUUUUCCU